rnacentral:rRNA from 1 species
AAAAAUAACGAAGAGUUUGAUCCUGGCUUAGAACUAACGCUGGCAGUGCGUCUUAAGCAUGCAAGUCAGACGGAAUGUAGUAGUACAUUCAGUGGCGAACGGGUGAGUAACGCGUGGAUAAUCUACCUACGAGAUGGGGAUAACUAUUAGAAAUAGUAGCUAAUACCGAAUAAAGUCAAUUGAGGUGUUAAUUGAUGAAAGGAAGCCUUUAAAGCUUCGCUUGUAGAUGAGUCUGCGUCUUAUUAGCUAGUUGGUGGGGUAAGAGCCUACCAAGGCUAUGAUAAGUAACCGGCCUGAGAGGGUGAUCGGUCACACUGGAACUGAGAUACGGUCCAGACUCCUACGGGAGGCAGCAGCUAAGAAUCUUCCGCAAUGGGCUAAAGCCUGACGGAGCGACACUGCGUGAACGAAGAAGGUCGAAAGAUUGUAAAGUUCUUUUAUAAGUGAGGAAUAAGCUUUGUAGGAAAUGACAAAGCGAUGACGUUAAUUUAUGAAUAAGCCCCGGCUAAUUACGUGCCAGCAGCCGCGGUAAUACGUAAGGGGCGAGCGUUGUUCGGGAUCAUUGGGCGUAAAGGGUGAGUAGGCGGAUAUGCAAGUCUAUGUGUAAAAUACCACAGCUCAACUGUGGAACUAUGCUGGAAACUGCAUGACUAGAGUCUGAUAGGGGAAGUUAGAAUUCCUGGUGUAAGGGUGGAAUCUGUUGAUAUCAGGAAGAAUACCAGAGGCGAAGGCGAACUUCUAGGUCAAGACUGACGCUGAGUCACGAAAGCGUAGGGAGCAAACAGGAUUAGAUACCCUGGUAGUCUACGCUGUAAACGAUGCACACUUGGUGUUAAUCGAAAGGUUAGUACCGAAGCUAACGUGUUAAGUGUGCCGCCUGGGGAGUAUGUUCGCAAGAAUGAAACUCAAAGGAAUUGACGGGGGCCCGCACAAGCGGUGGAGCAUGUGGUUUAAUUCGAUGAUACGCGAGGAACCUUACCAGGGCUUGACAUAUACAGGAUAUAGUUAGAGAUAACUAUUCCCCGUUUGGGGUCUGUAUACAGGUGCUGCAUGGUUGUCGUCAGCUCGUGCCGUGAGGUGUUGGGUUAAGUCCCGCAACGAGCGCAACCCUUAUUGUCUGUUACCAGCAUGUAAAGAUGGGGACUCAGACGAGACUGCCGGUGAUAAGCCGGAGGAAGGUGAGGAUGACGUCAAAUCAUCAUGGCCCUUAUGUCCUGGGCUACACACGUGCUACAAUGGCCUGUACAAAGCGAUGCGAAACAGUGAUGUGAAGCAAAACGCAGAAAGCAGGUCUCAGUCCAGAUUGAAGUCUGAAACUCGGCUUCAUGAAGUUGGAAUCGCUAGUAAUCGUAUAUCAGAAUGAUACGGUGAAUACGUUCUCGGGCCUUGUACACACCGCCCGUCACACCACCCGAGUUGAGGAUACCCGAAGCUAUUAUUCUAACCCGCAAGGGAGGAAGGUAUCUAAGGUAUGUUUAGUGAGGGGGGUGAAGUCGUAACAAGGUAGCCGUACUGGAAAGUGUGGCUGGAUCACCUCCUUUCUAA